rnacentral:rRNA from 1 species
AUGGCUCAGAACGAACGCUGGCGGCAUGCCUAACACAUGCAAGUCGAACGAAGCCUUCGGGCUUAGUGGCGCACGGGUGCGUAACGCGUGGGAAUCUGCCCUUGGGUUCGGAAUAACAGUUAGAAAUGACUGCUAAUACCGGAUGAAGUCUUCGGACCAAAGAUUUAUCGCCCAGGGAUGAGCCCGCGUAGGAUUAGGUAGUUGGUGGGGUAAAGGCCUACCAAGCCGACGAUCCUUAGCUGGUCUGAGAGGAUGAUCAGCCACACUGGGACUGAGACACGGCCCAGACUCCUACGGGAGGCAGCAGUGGGGAAUAUUGGACAAUGGGCGAAAGCCUGAUCCAGCAAAUGCCGCGUGAGUGAUGAAGGCCUUAGGGUUGUAAAGCUCUUUUACCAGGGAUGAUAAUGACAGUACCUGGAGAAUAAGCUCCGGCUAACUCCGUGCCAGCAGCAGC